GUUAUUUAAUGGGAAUAUAUCCUGAGGAUAUAUGCUUACUUGCAAAUGCUUUUAUGUGUAGUCACUGUAAAUUCAGGAGUCAUGAAUCUGGUACUAAUUUUUUCCUUUCAAGCUCUUGGAAUACCCUUUCAUGCCAAAUUACACGGCGAUGACUUGAUUGUAACUCCUUUUGCCCAGGUCCUUGCCAGCUUGCGAAGUGUGAGAAACAACUUCACUAUACUGACAAACCUUCAUGGUACAUCUAACAAGAGGUCCCCAGCUGCUAGUCAGCCUUCUGUCUCCAGAGUCAACCCACAAGGACAGUGCAUCCACUUUUCUUGGUGUGUUGAGAGCUGCAGAGAGGAAGGGCCACCUUGAAGGAACAUCAUGGAGUUCUGUUGAACUGAAAUUCUUCUUCACACAAAAUGCAACCAGUUCUAUGAUAUUUGUUAAAAUCCAAAUAAUGUUUUCUCCUAAAUCUGUUCCCUACUAUUGUUAGCAGUAGAUUUGAGAAAAACCACAGGAGAAACAAUUAAGAUGAACUCACACUGAGAUCACCUAACACCUGACACCUAACAAUUCCUCACACGCUUUUCUAUUUCCAGCAGCACUUCAUACUUAAAAUCUUUCUCACUUGGUUGUUGUGUUUUCUUUCUGGUAUCCUGAUCAUAAGUAUAACAGAAGUAUUACAAAAGCUUAGCUUCUAAAAGAAGGGAACAAAAGCAGCAGAUUCUAUUGGCUCAUUGGCUUCUGAAGUAUUUGUGGUGCACGCUUUUUAAAAUAUUUUUAUAAGAGAAAGAUUGAGAACGAGAAAAAAAAGUGAAAGAAAGAUAUUAAGUAAAGGUGAGUUUACUCUAGAGCCCCGUAAUAUGAAAUAUAAAGAAGUAAGUAGUACUCUAUGGACUUCAAAAACCUGGUGUGCUGCAUGUACUAUUUCCUUUAGAACUUUUAUAAAAAGAAACAAAAUAGGAUGUUUUAACAUAUAACUCGUGUUACAUACUUGGAGAUCAAAGGAGGUAGUUUUGAAACUCCAAUCAUUUCAUCAUAUUGGCCUACCAGUGAGGCAAUAUUGCUCACAUUUCUGUUAGCCAAAUUUACAUCAAUUUGAUUAUUUAGACUAUGUUUUCUUUUUCUUGUAAUAAAUACUGACAAACAUU
rnacentral:sRNA from 1 species